CAACCUUCAAGCCUGGCUUGGUGUUGGGCGUUGUCCCGCCUCCCCGCGGAAGACUCGCCCCAAAUGAAUUGGCAGCCGCACCCCUCCAGCCGCGAGCGCAGCAAAAACGCGCGAGCCGGCCUGGCGGGGACGGGCGCUCCACGAGACCUUUUUACAAG
rnacentral:misc_RNA from 1 species